CCCAGCGUGAAGGCCUUAUCACUCCGGUGUUAAGCGGUGCCACGUUAAUGACUUGUCAUAGUGCUUUGCUGAAGCUUCAUGGAUGCUUUUGAAUAAGCUUCAUUUUAGCCAAAGAGGGUGCAAGCCCCUUGGUGUUGUGGAUGCAAAGCAUGGACUUGUCAUGAUAGAGUCGGGUUGCUUGAAAGUGCAACCUAAAUCAGAUGGUAAGCUCCAUCUAAGGCUAAAUAUCGCUGUGAGACCGAUAGCAAACAAGUACCGUGAGGGAAAGUUGCAAAGAACUUUGAAGAGAGAGUUCAAUAGGACGUGAAACCGUUUGCAGGUAAACAGAUGGACCCACGAAGUCCAGUUGAACAGGAAAUUCAUAUUUUUCGAACAGUUCUCUACUGAUUAACUCUUCUGUAAAGAGGAUUUAGUUGGUUUGAAAACUGUCGAGAGAUGCAUUUCUCCUGUUCACGCUGGAGCUCUGACUGCUCUUUGACUUAAGUCGUGUAAGGCAGCUCUGGAUUGUGAGAUAUUUCUCAGGAAAUAUUUCUACUUUCUAGAGUUCAUGAUGUAGUCAAAUGAGCAGGUGAAUUACUCAUUGAAUGUGAGUAUUUAGGUUGUCGAUAUCUCUGCUUAAGUAGGGUGUGCUGGUCUUUGAAUUUUCGACUCUUGCAGUUGAAUUGGGAAGCAGUGCA
rnacentral:rRNA from 1 species